GACGAACGCUGGCGGCGUGCUUAACACAUGCAAGUCGAACGGAAAGGCCCCCUUGUGGGGUACUCGAGUGGCGAACGGGUGAGUAACACGUGAGUAACCUACCCUUGACUUUGGGAUAACUUCAGGAAACUGGGGCUAAUACCGGAUAGGAGCUCCUGCUGCAUGGUGGGGGUUGGAAAGUUUCGGCGGUUGGGGAUGGGCUCGCGGCUUAUCAGCUUGUUGGUGGGGUAGUGGCUCACCAAGGCUUUGACGGGUAGCCGCCCUGAGAGGGUGACCGGCCACAUUGGGACUGAGAUACGGCCCAGACUCCUACGGGAGGCAGCAGUGGGGAAUAUUGCACAAUGGGCGGAAGCCUGAUGCAGCAACGCCGCGUGCGGGAUGACGGCCUUCGGGUUGUAAACCGCUUUCGCCUGUGACGAAGCGUGAGUGACGGUAAUGGGUAAAGAAGCACCGGCUAACUACGUG
rnacentral:rRNA from 1 species